rnacentral:rRNA from 1 species
UACGUAGGGUGCAAGCGUUAAUCGGAAUUACUGGGCGUAAAGCGUGCGCAGGCGGUUGUGCAAGACCGAUGUGAAAUCCCCGGGCUUAACCUGGGAAUGGCAUUGGUGACUGCACGGCUAGAGUGUGUCAGAGGGGGGUAGAAUUCCACGUGUAGCAGUGAAAUGCGUAGAGAUGUAGAGGAAUACCGAUGGCGAAGGCAGCCCCCUGGGAUAACACUGACGCUCAUGCACGAAAGCGUGGGGAGCAAACAGG